CUUGGUGCUGUGCGUGCCUGCAAUAAUUUGUUUUCUUUGCUCUGGUUCAUCUAAACAAGCAGCAGCUGCAGACAUUGCUGCUCCAGGAAGAUGUUGUUUUUUGGCUCAUGAGGUUCUGCAGAUCCUGGGCAGCAGUACAGAGACUUCGAGAGCAGAGCUUUCGCUUCCCCACACAGAGGGAACACAAGGAUGGCCUCCCCCGUGGAGCUCAGCCUCACACAUACCCCGGGGGAAUGUAAGGGGAGCACUCAGCAAAACCCUCAGGAAGCGUUCACUGAUGUGAAAUACCAGCAGGAGGAAAUCUGUGUCCUUGAAAAGGAGGUGCAGGAUGUGCUGCAGCGGUGCCUGGUGCAGAGGAACAGCGGGGUCUGCUGUGAUUUCACACCGGGAAAGAUGCUGAUCUCAUCCACCUGGAGGAGUCUGAAAAAUUUGCUGUGAUUGCAGAAUGAAGCCUCUGCAAAGUGUUUGGUUCUCACAGAUAGAAUCAUCCCUAGUGACAGAGCAAUCUUCUUUAACCUGAUUUAACCCUUCCAUCAUCUGACAACCUCAUUCUAUGCUUGUUCUCUAACACAGAGAGCUGGUGAUGUGGUACCAAUGGGUAGGAUCUGUUCUUCAGAAGUUAGCAGAAAUCUGACGGUGUAAAAAAUUAAGCCUUUAAGUGUUUCCCAGUCUAUUGUAUUUUUGUUUCUCUCAGUUCUCACCUGUAGCAGGGGAUGGGAUAAAUACUGAAAUCAGUGGAGACUGUUAGAAGGAAAAUGUCCAAGCAAAGAUGACAAGGAAUGGUGAAACCCAGUAAAAACAUCUACUUAUUUGUAAAGAAAGGCAGUGCAUUUUAAUGAUGUUAUAGGGAUGAUCACAAAUCAUUUUGAGAAGGUUUAAGUAUGAUUAGCAAAGAAAAAAAAGACAACUUUUUUGAUGCUUUAGUUCAGCAAACCAAUUACAGAGUAACUUAA